rnacentral:lncRNA from 1 species
UGUAAGUUCAUUCUCCUCCUCUUCCCAUGGACUGAUCCCUCUGUUUUGUAGCUGAUUUCUGUUGUGCAUCUUAAUUAUUAAUAUUAUUAAUUAAUAUUAUAUCAGAUUAAAUUAUUCUGGUUUUUUUUUUUUGGCAGCUGUUCAAAAUAAGUGAAGAAGUGGUAGUUGAUGCAACUGAUAAAGGAAAUAUUGCGCGGCUAAUUAACCAUUCUGUAAGUCAACCUAUCCCAAAUUGUACACAGUACCCUGCUCAAAAAUCAAUCGCCAAUCUUAAAAACACAGCUGAUAUUUGCCUAUAUUUAGUCGUUUUAGUACAUAUUACUGGUUAUUAGUCAUCUCAUCUUACCCCUUCUUGGUUUACGUUAAUACAGUGUAUGCCAAAUUGCUAUGCAAGGAUCAUGAGUGUAGGUCAUGACGAGAGCCGGAUCGCACUCAUUGCCAAGACUAACGUAUCUGCUGGUGAUGAACUAACGUAUAUUCUCUAUCUAUGCUUCCCUCUUCUGUAGCAUGCUUUCCUGUGUCAUUUCAGCAUGCAUUUUAGAGUGAAUCGUCAUUUUGGUCUAUGAAUUCAUGAAAUGAUUCAUGAAAUUCUGCAACAUCAGAAUUUAGUCUAUGAAUUUCGAUCAAGAAUAUUCAAUAUCAGGCAUCAUAUUAGAAUUUCAUGAAUUUCAAAUAAACAAAUAGCCUAAUUCUUACAAUUUGAAAGACUAAAUUGGUGAUUUACUCACUUUUGUUUUAUCGAAGUCGGUCUAACGAAGUUUAUUGUACCUGACAGGUAUGACUACUUGUUUGAUCCUGAUGAGCCAGAUGAGUUUAAAGUCCCUUGUUUAUGUAAAUCUCCAAACUGCAGAAAAUUCAUGAAUUAGGAUUUAUUCAGAUCAUGUUGACAAGUAUUGUUUCUCCGCAAGGAGCUCUAACCCGUCGCAUCAUCAAUGGGAACCUCACAGUUAUACACAAGCUGUAAUUUUAAUCAAAGCAUAAGAAAAAAUAUAGAAAAUAAUAGCUGUGGCAUAGUUUUUCUUUUUACCCUCAAAUGCUUUCUUAGAGUUUAUUUCUUCUUUGACAUUCAUCAAAGCCUAUUGAAUUUUGUAUAGAUUUUGUAGCUUUUGGCUCUUGGCUUC